rnacentral:rRNA from 1 species
AAGGCGAGGCCGAAAGGCGUAGUCGAUGGGAAACGGGUUAAUAUUCCCGUACUUGGUGUUACUGCGAAGGGGGGACGGAGAAGGCUAUGUUGGCCGGGCGACGGUUGUCCCGGUUUAAGCGUGUAGGUGUGUGUUCCAGGUAAAUCCGGUUCACUUUAACACUGAGGCGUGAUGACGAGGCACUACGGUGCUGAAGCAACAAAUGCCCUGCUUCCAGGAAAAGCCUCUAAGCAUCAGGUAACACGAAAUCGUACCCCAAACCGACACAGGUGGUCAGGUAGAGAAUACCAAGGCGCUUGAGAGAACUCGGGUGAAGGAACUAGGCAAAAUGGUGCCGUAACUUCGGGAGAAGGCACGCUGACACGUAGGUGAAGUGAUUUACUCAUGGAGCUGAAGUCAGUCGAAGAUACCAGCUGGCUGCAACUGUUUAUUAAAAACACAGCACUGUGCAAACACGAAAGUGGACGUAUACGGUGUGACGCCUGCCCGGUGCCGGAAGGUUAAUUGAUGGGGUCAGCGCAAGCGAAGCUCCUGAUCGAAGCCCCGGUAAACGGCGGCCGUAACUAUAACGGUCCUAAGGUAGCGAAAUUCCUUGUCGGGUAAGUUCCGACCUGCACGAAUGGCGUAAUGAUGGCCAGGCUGUCUCCACCCGAGACUCAGUGAAAUUGAACUCGCUGUGAAGAUGCAGUGUACCCGCGGCAAGACGGAAAGACCCCGUGAACCUUUACUAUAGCUUGACACUGAACAUUGAGCCUUGAUGUGUAGGAUAGGUGGGAGGCUUUGAAGUGUGGACGCCAGUCUGCAUGGAGCCGACCUUGAAAUACCACCCUUUAAUGUUUGAUGUUCUAACGUGGACCCGUUACCCGGGUUGCGGACAGUGUCUGGUGGGUAGUUUGACUGGGGCGGUCUCCUCCUAAAGAGUAACGGAGGAGCACGAAGGUUGGCUAAUCCUGGUCGGACAUCAGGAGGUUAGUGCAAUGGCAUAAGCCAGCUUGACUGCGAGCGUGACGGCGCGAGCAGGUGCGAAAGCAGGUCAUAGUGAUCCGGUGGUUCUGAAUGGAAGGGCCAUCGCUCAACGGAUAAAAGGUACUCCGGGGAUAACAGGCUGAUACCGCCCAAGAGUUCAUAUCGACGGCGGUGUUUGGCACCUCGAUGUCGGCUCAUCACAUCCUGGGGCUGAAGUAGGUCCCAAGGGUAUGGCUGUUCGCCAUUUAAAGUGGUACGCGAGCUGGGUUUAGAACGUCGUGAGACAGUUCGGUCCCUAUCUGCCGUGGGCGCUGGAGAACUGAGGGGGGCUGCUCCUAGUACGAGAGGACCGGAGUGGACGCAUCACUGGUGUUCGGGUUGUCAUGCCAAUGGCACUGCCCGGUAGCUAAAUGCGGAAGAGAUAAGUGCUGAAAGCAUCUAAGCACGAAACUUGCCCCGA